GAUUGUUAUAGCUGUCCUCAUUUACGUCAUCAAGAACAACAAGUGUGGUUAUUGCAAUAAUGAAGCUGCUGUUUCCCUGCAGCAGUAUCUUGCAAAAAGGAAUUUAAAGAGAGGUGAAGACACAUGGGCUUAUUCUGCUGUCGUCUUCUCCGUGAUGAAAACUGACAGUGGUGGACCGAGGGAUGCAAAGUUAGCGGAGAGAGAGAGGAUCUACGCAGCUGUCAAGGCUUUUUGGUUGGAUUAGCAGGUUAACUGGACUGUUUGAGAUCACUUAGUACCAUAUGUGAAAGAUGAUGUUACUCUGUUGAAAGGGGCUGUAUGGGACAUUGAGAUGAUUCAGAGGCUUUGCCAGGAUUGCCUGAACAUGGCUAUCAACAUGGAGGUUGCAUGAGGUUACAGGAGGUAAUGACGUCAACUAGGAACAGGCAUCAGCAUCCAAAUCUGUUUGAUUGCAUUGGCUUAAAUUGGAAUGCUUCACCUGGCUGUGAGCCGUGCAGCACUGCCAUUUUGAGCUGAACUUUUGUCACCCUAUAUUUACUCCUAUCGCUUGCUUUGAAAACUCUACAAUGGACGAGUAGCGACUGAUUCGUGAGGCUAAAUGAACCUUCUGCCUUCAUUCUGGAUUUGUUAAAUUUAGCAUCUGAUUCCCACCAAAAGGUGGCAGCAAUAUUAAGUCAGAGAACUGUAAAAGCACAGUGUCCAGAAAGUAACUGCCGAGUCAACAGGGGUAUGGAAAGACAGAUACUUGUAGUGCUCAAUCCAAGCUUCGACUAAAACUGUCACUAAAUUAGGUCUGAAUAGGUCAGCACCCACAGCACAACAGUGUGCAGUUUGUUAUAUUAAGACACUGACAGGGAAACUGAGCCGUUGGUUCUCAUUAUGUUGUCAUACUAAAUGCCCCCCCCAAAAAAACAACUUUUCAGCAUCUCACAACACUAAUAGAAUCAAAAUAUAUAAGGCAGAUGUUAUUUACACCCAGGUGUCCAUAGCCAACAAUUCUAUUCACACUGCAGUUGUAUAUUCCUUUGUGCCCUUGUAAUGUCAAAAUAUGACAUGAUCAGUAAUGGUUUAUUCAGCUGCUCUGUUUAUUUACAGUUAACAUUCAGCAGCUUUACAUAUCCUAAAAUUUGAAAAUAAUAAGUCAAUAAAAUCU